GGCCUGAUGGUCUAGUAGUAUGAUUCCUUGUUAGGGUUUUCUGUCCUAUUAUCGAGGAGGUCCCGGGUUCAAUUCCCGGUCAGGCCC